rnacentral:rRNA from 1 species
GCAUAUCAAUAAGCGGAGGAAAAGAAACUAACAAGGAUUCCCCUAGUAACGGCGAGUGAAGAGGGAAGAGCUCAAAUUUUAAAUCUGCCUUGUUUUCAAGGUCGAGUUGUAAUUUGAAGAAGCGUUUUCUUGGGCUCGCGGCCGGUAGAAGUUCUUUGGAACAGGACAUCAUAGAGGGUGACAAUCCCGUCUGCGACCGGUCGUGCGUUCAUCUACGAUACGCUUUCAAAGAGUCGAGUUGUUUGGGAUUGCAGCUCCAAAUGGGUGGUAAACAUCACCUAAGGCUAAAUAUUGGCGAGAGACCGAUAGCGAACAAGUACCGUGAGGGAAAGAUGAAAAGAACUUUGAAAAGAGAGUUAAACAGUACGUGAAGUUGUUGAAAGGGAAACGAUUGAAGUCAGUCGUGCUGGCGCGAAAUCAACCCUCUCGUCGAGAGGUCACAUGGCGUGGCGAGCCUCAAAACCGUCACGAAGCGUGAACUCUUGGCGAAAAGGAGCACUUUCGUGUCCGCUGGUUAACAUCAAUUUCGAACGUCAUAAAAAGGCUGGAGGGAUGUGGCUCCUUCGGGAGUGUUAUAACCUUUAGCGGAAUGUGGUGGUCGGGAUUGAGGAUUGCAACGAAUACCUUUAGGGCUGUUCCACCUGGCUUCUCUUUGGUAUCCUGGUGACGACAGCUUGCUGACGUCGUUAGGAUUCGCCUUUGAACAGGCUAGAGUGUGAGCAAAUUCGUUAAGGAUGUUGACGUAAUGGCUUUAAACGAC